rnacentral:rRNA from 1 species
GCAAGUCGAGGGGUAAUUCCGAGCAAUCGGGAACGACCGGCGAACGGGUGAGUAACGCGUACAUAACCUACCUUAGAGUGAGGGACAGGCCUGGGAAACUGGGAUUAAUACCUCAUAGUAUUAUAGAAUCGCCUGAUUUUAUAAUUAAAGAUUAAUUGCUCUAAGAUGGAUGUGCAUGCCAUUAGGUAGUUGGUAAGGUAACGGCUUACCAAGCCAUCGAUGGCUAGGGGGCGUGAGAGCGUGAUC